CAGCCGCCGCGGGAAUACGUAGGUCCCGAGCGUUGUCCGGAUUUAUUGGGCGUAAAGCGAGCGCAGGCGGUUAGAUAAGUCUGAAGUUAAAGGCUGUGGCUUAACCAUAGUACGCUUUGGAAACUGUUUAACUUGAGUGCAAGAGGGGAGAGUGGAAUUCCAUGUGUAGCGGUGAAAUGCGUAGAUAUAUGGAGGAACACCGGUGGCGAAAGCGGCUCUCUGGCUUGUAACUGACGCUGAGGCUCGAAAGCGUGGGGAGCAAACAGGAUUAGAUACCCCUGUAGUCCUGUCUCUUAUACAC
rnacentral:rRNA from 1 species